GACGAACGCUGGCGGCGUGCCUAAUACAUGCAAGUUGAGCGCUGAAGGUUGGUACUUGUACCAACUGGAUGAGCAGCGAACGGGUGAGUAACGCGUGGGGAAUCUGCCUUUGGGCGGGGGACAACAUUUGGAAACGAAUGCUAAUACCGCAUAAAAACUUUAAACACAAGUUUUAAGUUUGAAAGAUGCAAUUGCAUCACUCAAAGAUGAUCCCGCGUUGUAUUAGCUAGUUGGUGAGGUAAAGGCUCACCAAGGCGAUGAUACAUAGCCGACCUGAGAGGGUGAUCGGCCACAUUGGGACUGAGACACGGCCCAAACUCCUACGGGAGGCAGCAGUAGGGAAUCUUCGGCAAUGGACGAAAGUCUGACCGAGCAACGCCGCGGGAGUGAAGAAGGUUUUCGGAUCGUAAAACUCUGUUGGUAGAGAAGAACGUUGGUGAGAGUGGAAAGCUCAUCAAGUGACGGUAACUACCCAGAAAGGGACGGCUAACUACGUG
rnacentral:rRNA from 1 species